AAUGAACGUUGGCGGCAUGGAUUAGGCAUGCAAGUCGCGCGAUAAGAUUCCUUCGGGAAUCCGAAAGCGGCGAAAGGGAGAGUAACGCGUAGAUGAUCUACCCCGAGGACUGGGAUAGCGGCGGGAAACUGCCGGUAAUACCAGAUGAUGUCUCCGGACCAAAGGUGUGAUUCCGCCUUGGGAUGAAUCUGCGUCCUAUUAGCUAGUUGGUGAGGUAACGGCUCACCAAGGCGAAGAUGGGUACCGGGUGUGAGAGCAUGACCCGGCUCACUGGGACUGAGACACUGCCCAGACACCUACGGGUGGCUGCAGUCGAGAAUCUUCGGCAAUGGGCGAAAGCCUGACCGAGCAAUGCCGCGUGCGGGAUGAAGG
rnacentral:rRNA from 1 species